rnacentral:rRNA from 1 species
UACGUAGGGGGCAAGCGUUGUCCGGAAUUAUUGGGCGUAAAGAGCGCGUAGGCGGUCCGAUAAGUCGGCUGUGAAAGCCCCGGGCUCAACCUGGGAACCGCGCUUGAGACUGGAGAACUAGAGUUCGGGAGAGGAUGGUGGAAUUCCCAGUGUAGAGGUGAAAUUCGUAGAUAUUGGGAAGAACACCGAUGGCGAAGGCAGCCAUCUGGACCGACACUGACGCUGAGGCGCGAAAGCGUGGGGAGCAAACAGG